rnacentral:lncRNA from 1 species
UGGAGCCCAGCCCUGAGCACUCAGGUGCAAUGAGUUUUGUGCCUGCCUCGCUCAGAAAGGAUCAUCAGUGGGAAGUGGAAACCCAUGUUAGCAUUAGCCUAGUGGGACAAAGUCAGCCAAGGCUAGGACAGUCACAGAGGGCUUGGGGUGGGGUCAGCUUUCCCCUACACCGAGGCACGGAGGACCACACAAGACAUGACGCUGUCUCAGAGAGGCAGGGUGGAAGAAAAGCCCGGGCCUCUGACUCUGCUGCUCACUCCUCUCUCCCCAGCGCCACCUCUCCCAUUUUGGAAACCUGGUCCAAAUGGCACCAUCCACCGGACAUUCCCCAAAUCAAGAUCAAAAGGGCCGGCUUGCAAGUGAACUCACCUGGAGCAGACAUGGAGCCUCCCUUGUGCCUUCCCCUUGCUCAGGUGGAAUAUCUAGAGCCCCACAAGGCCGAAACAGAUGCUCCGGCUCCAUGUCCAAAACACCAUGGGCCUGCUCUGCAGCCAGAGCCAGUACCAGAGAAAGAGCCUCCUCUGGAAACAGGAGAGAAGCAGAAGCCAGCUCCACAGCACCCCUGCCUCUCUGCUGCCACUGACAAGGACAGGUCCUUGCAGAAGGUGCUCUUAGCCUUCUCUGCCAAGCUGCUGGCAAAACAGCUGACCUUGAUGGAUGGGGUGAGCAGCUGAGCUCUGUGAGGUGGGGUGGGGCAGGGACACCUAUCCUUCUCUCACUGAUCUCCUCAGUCCUGAUAUUCCCAGAUUACCAGGUCAAAUUUCCUUCUUCUAGCAACUGCAUCACCUAUACUUGUCUCUCAGCCCCAAGCCACUCCUGUCCUUGUGUAGAGAUCAACAGUAAAGACAGGGCACUCAUAUGCCCACUUCACACAAUGACUAUGAUGUCAACUGCGAUUGGACAAUUGGGAAACAGGGCGGGGA